UACAGCCGGUAAUUGAUAUUCUGCUCGUGGUUUUGAGCAAGAAUGCAGGUAAAUAGGUAUGUAAAUAAUUUGCGAAUACACUCGAAUCGAAGCAAAUUUUUUCAAAAGUAAUUAUGCAAAACAAAAGUACAAAUAAACAAAAAUACACUAAAUAAACGCGAAUGAAACAGAAUAAAACACACGCAGAUACAAGACACCAACUCGUAGAACAAUGUCAAAUACUUGGUUGAAAUCUUACAAUGAAUAAUAAAAUAACCGUACGAAAUUACCUGAGCGGAAAAUGUAGAAGCUGUGGGUUGUGGAAAGUAAUUCGAUGACCUUAUUUCGAUAUAAUCGAAUGCUUUACGAAACAAUGUUGCUUAUAAUGUUUUCACAAAUCAAAUCAGCACUACUUAGCAUUCAUUCGCAUACUAGA